rnacentral:rRNA from 1 species
GCACGGGUGAGUAACGCGUGGGUAACCUACCCCCGGCGGGGGAUAACUACUCGAAAGGGUGGCUAAUACCGCAUGAGACCACGGGAUCCCCGGAUCCUGAGGCCAAAGGCUGCAUCGGCUUGCCGGUGCAGUCACCAGGGGAUGGGCCCGCGUCCGAUUAGCUAGUUGGCGAGGUAACGGCUCACCAAGGCUUCGAUCGGUAGCUGGUCUGAGAGGAUGAUCAGCCACACUGGAACUGAAACACGGUCCAGACUCCUACGGGAGGCAGCAGUGAGGAAUAUUGCGCAAUGGGGGAAACCCUGACGCAGCAACGCCGCGUGGGUGAAGAAGGCCUUCGGGUCGUAAAGCCCUUUCGGACAGAAAGAAAUCCUAUCCGCUAAUACCGGGUGGGGAUGACGGUACUGUAAGAAGAAGCACCGGCUAACUACGUGCCAGCAGCCGCGGUAA